rnacentral:rRNA from 1 species
GCAGUCGACGGUGACACGGAGCUUGCUCUGUGGGAUCAGUGGCGAACGGGUGAGUAACACGUGAGCAACCUGCCCCUGACUCUGGGAUAAGCGCUGGAAACGGCGUCUAAUACUGGAUAUGUGACGUGACCGCAUGGUCUGCGUCUGGAAAGAAUUUCGGUUGGGGAUGGGCUCGCGGCCUAUCAGCUUGUUGGUGAGGUAAUGGCUCACCAAGGCGUCGACGGGUAGCCGGCCUGAGAGGGUGACCGGCCACACUGGGACUGAGACACGGCCCAGACUCCUACGGGAGGCAGCAGUGGGGAAUAUUGCACAAUGGGCGCAAGCCUGAUGCAGCAACGCCGCGUGAGGGACGACGGCCUUCGGGUUGUAAACCUCUUUUAGCAGGGAAGAAGCGAAAGUGACGGUACCUGCAGAAAAAGCGCCGGCUAACUACGUGCCAGCAGCCGCGGUAAUACGUAGGGCGCAAGCGUUAUCCGGAAUUAUUGGGCGUAAAGAGCUCGUAGGCGGUUUGUCGCGUCUGCUGUGAAAUCCGGAGGCUCAACCUCCGGCCUGCAGUGGGUACGGGCAGACUAGAGUGCGGUAGGGGAGAUUGGAAUUCCUGGUGUAGCGGUGGAAUGCGCAGAUAUCAGGA